UACGGAGGGUGCAAGCGUUGUUCGGAUUGACUGGGCGUAAAGAGCACGUAGGCGGGUUUGUAAGUCGAUUGUGAAAACCCCGGGCUUAACCUGGGAAAGUCAGUCGAAACUGCGGAUCUUGAAUGCUUGAGAGGUUGGUGGAAUUCCAGGUGUAGGAGUGAAAUCCGUAGAUAUCUGGAGGAACACCGGUGGCGAAGGCGGCCAACUGGCGAUGCAUUGACGCUGAGGUGCGAAAGCGUGGGGAGCAAACAGG
rnacentral:rRNA from 1 species